rnacentral:rRNA from 1 species
AGGAUUAACGCUAGCGGCAGGCCUAAUACAUGCAAGUCGAACGGCAGCGGGUCCAGCAAUGGAUGCCGGCGAGUGGCGCACGGGUGCGUAACGCGUAUGCAAUCUACCUUUAACUGGAGGAUAGCCCCGAGGAAUCGGGAUUAAUACUCCAUAAUAUUGAGAAGGGGCAUCUCUUUUCAAUUAAAGCUCCGGCGGUUUUAGAUGAGCAUGCGUGACAUUAGCUAGUUGGUGAGGUAACGGCUCACCAAGGCGACGAUGUCUAGGGGUUCUGAGAGGAUUUUCCCCCACACUGGUACUGAGACACGGACCAGACUCCUACGGGAGGCAGCAGUAAGGAAUAUUGGGCAAUGGGCGCAAGCCUGACCCAGCCAUGCCGCGUGAAGGAUGACAGCCCUAUGGGUUGUAAACUUCUUUUGUACGGGAAAAAACCCCCGGUCGUGUACCGGGGCUGAUGGUACCGUAAGAAUAAGCAUCGGCUAACUCCGUGCCAGCAGCCGCGGUAAUACGGAGGAUGCAAGCGUUAUCCGGAUUCAUUGGGUUUAAAGGGUGCGCAGGCGGAAUGAUAAGUCAGUGGUGAAAUCCUACGGCUCAACUGUAGAACUGCCAUUGAUACUGUCGUUCUUGAGUACACUUGAAGUGGGCGGAAUGUGUCAUGUAGCGGUGAAAUGCUUAGAUAUGACACAGAACACCGAUCGCGAAGGCAGCUCACUAAAUUGUAACUGACGCUCAUGCACGAAAGCGUGGGGAUCAAACAGGAUUAGAUACCCUGGUAGUCCACGCCGUAAACGAUGAUUACUCGAUGUUGGCGAUACACUGUCAGCGUCUAAGCGAAAGCAUUAAGUAAUCCACCUGGGGAGUACGGCCGCAAGGUUGAA